rnacentral:pre_miRNA from 1 species
UUAAUACUCCCUCCGUCCAGAAAUAUUUUUCCUAGAAAUGGAUGAAUCUAGACUUAUUUUAGUUAUAGAUACAUUCAUUAUAUUAAUUUUUAGGACAAGUAUUUCCGGACGGAGGGAGUAAGUU